GAUGAACGCUGGCGGCGUGCCUAAUACAUGCAAGUCGAGCGAACAGACGAGGAGCUUGCUCCUCUGACGUUAGCGGCUGACGGGUGAGUAACACGUGGAUAACCUACCUAUAAGACUUGGAGAACUUCGUGAAACCGGAGCUAAUACCGGAUAAUAUAUUCAACCGCAUGGUUCAAUAGUGAAAGACGGUUUUGCUGUCACUUAUAGAUGGAUCCGCGCCGCAUUAGCUAGUUGGUAAGGUAACGGCUUACCAAGGCAACGAUGCGUAGCCGACCUGAGAGGGUGAUCGGCCACACUGGAACUGAGACACGGUCCAGACUCCUACGGGAGGCAGCAGUAGGGAAUAUUGCGCAAUGGGCGAAAGCUUGACGGAGCAACGCCGCGUGAGUGAUGAAGGUCUUCGGAUCGUAAAACUCUGUUAUUAGGGAAGAACAAAUGUGUAAGUAACUAUGCACGUCUUGACGGUACCUAAUCAGAAAGCCACGGCUAACUACGUG
rnacentral:rRNA from 1 species